GGGGCGUCGUCGUCGUUGUCUUCGGCCCCUGCUCGGAGAUUGACCUCGGUUAUUAAGCACGCCAUUUCAGGGAUGCGGUGGCCCUUUGCCGGCCCAAAAUAGAGUCUUCAGCGGGGCUGCAACCUCGUUCAACGGGUGGCCACUGGGCGAUGGAUUUGCGCCAUGGAUGCCUAGCUAGGUCCCCAUGAUAAUAGGAAGAACAAAUUACACAGCGGAUUCAUGCCGCAUAGCUAUAUAUGUGCGGUCGCAGAUAAUGGAACACAUGUUUCAUAUAGUUUCGGUCUCAUUUGGAAAGGGUUCUUUGAUUCCAUUCUCUACCGCUAAAAGGAGUGUAGGGAAUGUCCACAGUUGUGACCGUGGGCUCGCUCCCGCGCUGCGCCCUGCGCCCCUCCCGCACCGCUCCACCCCCACCCCACCCCACCGCUCCGUGCCGUCCCCGUCCGCCGUCGGCCGUCCGCCGCGCCGCCAAUCCGCGCCGUCCCCGGCGCCCCCCUCUGCGCCCCUGCUCCGUGCCCGGCGCCGCAGAUCCACGCCACCCUGCCGCGGUGAUGCCGCCGCCGCCCCCCCAUCGCACGCGCCCCCGAUCCACGACUGCCCUCGCGAGAUCAGCCGUCGAGGAGGAAGAGGAGCCAUCGUGCCCGGUGUGCCGUCCUCUCCGAUCCCUUCUUCUACGAAGACGACGACAUCGACGAGCUUCGCGGGCGCAUCGAUCUGGGCUCAACUCCUUCUCCCAAGGCUGCCGCCCCCGCCCGGAGUCUCCGUCUCCCAAGGCCGCCGCUGCCGCCCCCGAGGUGCGCUCCCCGCCAGUCCCCGCCCGAAGGCCAGCUCGCCGGAGGUUACCAUCGACAAUCGCCCACGCCCGAGUUCAGAGUGUUCCAAGUUCCAACAAGGGGAUUCAUUCGGUCGAUGCUGCGGCCGCGCCGAGGAAGGGCGGCGAGUACCGGCCCAGCUUCGCGGACGGCCUCCUCCUCACCUUCUUCCGGAGCAAGAUGGUGGAGCUGCAGAAGGUUGGAUGGGAUUCCCAAAAAAACUUGGUAUGCCGGACUGAUGGAGGUUGUGAAUCGUCUUAUGGUCAAGGGGAAGAGUGCUUCAUAGAUUGAGCAGGCAGCUGUAUAUCACCUCUCUUGUUCCUCCCAAGUCUGUUUUGUUGGACAUCAGUCUAGCAUGUGAACUCAAUACCUAAAUCGAUUUUCGUUUUCUGCAUAUCUCCUUGAAAACUCUUUUGCUUGUUUGUGCCUGUCUUGCUUGUUCUUUACAAAGCUCUUUUUAACACCAAUUGCUGAUGGUCAACUAGCUGCCAUGAUGCUCGGUGAGUUCAUUUCAAGGAAAAAGUACAUCAUUUCUGAUUAUACUUCAUAUUCUUCUCUAUUUAACUUGGUCUAUUGGAAUUGCUGUGUCUUACUUGAGAAGCCAGAGCGACAGCACUUUCAUGCCAAUGGUUGAUGGCACAUGUUCAGUUAAUUCUGCCUGAUGGAAAAUCUUGGUCAAGUGGGGCUAGCAGCAACAAUAUGUCAAUGUAAGCAAGAUUUCUACACCCUAAUCAUUUAAGUUCUAUGAUAAUCUGAAAAACGGUGCCACGGUAAUUAUGGAAGAGAUGAUAAAUUGAACCAGGGUUGCACAACAUGCCAGUUUUGAUUAUUUCUACUUUUCUGAUGCUAGAACUGGUGGGAGAACAUAUGUACUUGAAGAUUGAUGCUUAUGGAGGGAAUUUGUUUCACCCUUAGCAACGCACGGGUAGGCACUGAAGUAGAAUUUUGUGAUCGACGUUUUGACGUUUGCUGGAAAUGCAUAUUGGAAAAUACUUUGUCAAUGUGUUUAGAAAUAUCUUAGCUCUAUCGUAUGGAAAAAUAUUUGAAAGUGGGUGAUGUGGCAUUGGAUAUCCUGAUGUAGUUGAAUUUAUCAAAUUUUAAAACUAUUAUUUA